rnacentral:tRNA from 1 species
GCGGGCGUAGCUCAGUUGGUAGAGCGCCAGCCUUCCAAGCUGGAUGUCACCGGUUCGAGCCCGGUCGCCCGCU